rnacentral:rRNA from 1 species
GACGAACGCUGGCGGCGUGCCUAAUACAUGCAAGUCGGACGCAUCGUCUUCACCGGAGCUUGCUCCACCGAAGACGAUGAGUGGCGAACGGGUGAGUAACACGUGGGCAACCUGCCCACCAGAGGGGGACAACACUUGGAAACAGGUGCUAAUACCGCAUAACAGCCCUUCCCGCAUGGGAAGGACUUGAAAGGUGCUUUCGGGCACCGCUGGUGGAUGGGCCCGCGGUGCAUUAGCUAGUUGGCGGGGCAGCGGCCCACCAAGGCGACGAUGCAUAGCCGACCUGAGAGGGUGAUCGGCCACAUUGGGACUGAGACACGGCCCAAACUCCUACGGGAGGCAGCAGUAGGGAAUCUUCGGCAAUGGACGGAAGUCUGACCGAGCAACGCCGCGUGAGUGAAGAAGGUUUUCGGAUCGUAAAACUCUGUUGUCAGAGAAGAACGGGAGGGAGAGGCAAUGCUCUCUCCGUGACGGUAUCUGACCAGAAAGCCACGGCUAACUACGUGCCAGCAGCCGCGGUAACAC